rnacentral:misc_RNA from 1 species
AUUGUUCAAUUUUUUUAAUCUUUUGUAGAUGCAUUUUGAAAAGGAGAGAAGAUGUUGGACUAUUAGGGAGUAUUUCUUGUCAUUUUUACUAAUCAACCUCCCAAGGCUGAUUUGUUUUAAUUUCCUUCUACAUAGAUUUUUUUUCUGAUAUCUUAUGCAGUAGAUUUUUUAGGCUGUGUGUAGCAAUUCUGGGAUUUUUGUUGUCCAUUGUUUAUUUCGUACUAA